rnacentral:rRNA from 1 species
CAAUAGCGUAUAUUAAAGUUGUUGCAGUUAAAAAGCUCGUAGUUGGAUUUCUGGUAGGAGUGACCGUUCCGAACUUGAUUGUUCGUAUAUUGUGUUUUCUCCAGCCAUCCUUGUGGAGAACUUUUCUUGCAUUAAUUUGUAGGGAUUGGGACCCGCAUCGUUUACUGUGAAAAAAUUAGAGUGUUUAAAGCAGGCAAUCGCUUGAAUACAUUAGCAUGGAAUAAUAAGAUAGGACUUUGGUACUAUUUUGUUGGUUUGCAUACCAAAUUAAUGAUCAACAGGAACAGUUUGAGGAUAUUCGUAUGAACAUGUCAGAGGUGAAAUUCUUGGAUUUUGAUCAGACGAACUACUGCGAAAGCAUUUAUCAAGGAUGUUUUCAUUAA